UCCGCACAUUAGGAUGCUUAUACGUGUUUAAUUAGUAUUAUAAUCACUAAUUGUAUGUAAACAUAUGUCAUCAUAUGUUAAUAGGUCACUAAGUGUGUUCAAGUCUUUACUUGGCACUGAGCACCCAACCGACACUUUCGUCCAAUCCACCCGCAACAGGUGAGUUCAUACCCCUGAAUUAACCUUUUAAAUGAUUUUAACUGCUUUUAUAGGGGGAAUAGAAGUUGAACUGUACAUUUAUUAGAUAAAUCACCUGUGAUUAAUAACUGUAUAGCAAAAUAGAUUUUUGCAUGUUGACUGUUUUAUCCAGCUCAAGAUAUUCCAAUCUCGCUUUCAACUCUUGUUAAAGUAUAAAUUUCUCUGCUAGAUUAUCAUAAGUAUUCGAAAGGUUUUCCGAAGGUUUUUCAAAGGUUUUCCAAAGUUUUUUCAAGCUUGGUUGCCAAAGAGACAUCAAGUCGUAAUUUCUUGUUAAAGGUUUUCAAAAGGUUUUCUUCACUUUAACUGUUUUAUCAAAUCGUUUUCAAAGCUUGUUUUACAAAAAUGACAUCGAGUCGUAAAUUUUUAUUUGUAAAGGCUUUCCAAAGGUUUUACCAAAGCUUUCUUCUAUGCUUCUGUUUCGUUAAAUGCAUGCCUAUAUUUGUAUAAUUAUAUAAAUAAUGUUUAAAGGACUUAGGAAGGCUAGUUUGCCCUAUUUCCUUUUCCUCGUUGGGAUGUGGUCUGGUGGGUAUCGGUUAUCCGUCUGAAGGUCGCUUAAACAUUAAUUAUAUAUCAUGUAUACAUGUAUGGACAUAAAAGCUCUCACUCACUCAGCAAAUUUAUCGACUUGAGUAGUACAGGAAUCCUAUCUCUAUCUCUAUCUCUAUCUCUAUAUCUAUCUCUAUAUCUCUCUCUCUGUCUCUCUCUCUCUCUCUCUCUAUUUUACUUUAGAAUGUGACAGACUAUUUCCCUCUACGACGCUCCAUUGCGCCAACGCCGUGUUACCAGAGUCUCCGGGAAAGAGAGCAAACAUCAUGUGUGUAGAUCGAUACGGGACUGAUACUCCUACACCCAGACUACUAGCUACAGUCCACGCCGGUAAGGCCCAUGGAUGAUAUAAUGCCACUACCUCUAAUGCCACUACCUUUACGCGUGACCUGGAGGGUCAUCGGAUGCUCUAUCGUCGAUCAGCAUGGUUACAUAUGGGUUCACAUUCACCCCUUUUGUUUUAGACUUUGCUAGCUGUACCGUUCAUUUGAUACUGUCUGGAUCUGUACUUCCUUUUGUUAGACUGAGCCAGGCGUAUCCUUCAUUCGAUACUCUCCUGGAGUCUGUGAUUUCUUUUUCCUUAGAAAACAGUAUUACUACUGAGGCAUAUAUUAUUUUUCCCCUAGUAUUUUUACUAGUGGUAUUCUCAUAUUUUCUUUAAAGUCAAUACCGUAUUUUGGUAAUGAUAGUAUUUAGGGGAAAAUUUCUCUUUAAAACAUAACUCUGUCGAGUCUUGGUAGAAGACUGCUUUUAUUUAGAAAAUAUAGGAUUUUCUGGAAAGGACGCUAAUACACCGUAGAUUCUAAACUACUACCUUUCAUAAAGUUAUUUUGAAUAAAAAUGUGUAUUUAUACAAAUGAUAUUAAAUACUUAUGGACUCACCAACAUUGUAAAAUGUUGAUACUCGCUUUCGAAAUAACUUGUAUUCUUAGGUCAGCGAUAGACAGGUACAUCCCAGGAGCUUUUGUGGAGACAACCUAGUACCGAGCUGCAUCUAUGUUAUGUUCUGUAAUUAUUUUGAUAUUACUAUAAGAUGUAACUGAUGUAAAAUUAUUUCUAUUAAUACAAUGGUUGUUGUACUUUGAUUACUAUACUACAUAUGUUGUGAUACUUGACAUGACGUUAUCCACCCCAGAACGUUUCCACCAUUCCGGUUUUGGGGUGUGACAGAUUGGUAUCGGAGCAUUGUUUAUAGUGAGCUCAGUAUAUCAAUUCAUAAAAGAUAUACAACCUAUAAAUACACAGGGAUAAACCACUCUGACCAAGAAUGAUACUUUAAAAUAUAACCAUAUUUUACCAAAGUAUAAGAACAUCCUGAAUCUAAACACUCGAACAAAAGUAUCACAAGAAGAACAUAAUAAAAGUCAUUGGAUGUUGACCACUACCGUCAAACCUGGGCAGUUAUGUAAUCGUAAGCUGAAAUAAAUGUAACCUGAUCAACUACAUUUAUUCGAGAUGCGAUGAACAUGUGCUUGGGAGUGAUGGUGGUGUUGCAACAGGUCUGAAACUUACCAAAUAGGAAUGCUAGAGACAAACAGAAAGUUUAAAAUACUAUGGGAGUAUUUUGGAAUACUAAAAGACUCACAAUAAUCCCAGAAUCAUAUUCAGAAGUUAAGAAUCAAACAAGAAAUUAAAAUACCAUAAGGGUAUCUUAGGAUCCAUAGAUAACCAUGUGUGAAAAACUAAAAAGAUCCUAAUUGAUAUACCUAUGAUUACAAAUGGUAUGCUUCCAAGGUUAUAUAUAAUAAGGAUCCCAUAGACUAAGAAUGUGUGGUUUCGCUCUACUUCCUUUUCCUCGUUGGGAUGUGGAUAUAGAGUAGUAUCACAUAUUCGAAGGCCUAUCGAAUCUAGGUUAUAUAUAAUUUGUGUACCCUAUGUAAUUUUAGUAGGACUCGAUAUGGAUCACCCAGUGAAAUGUUAAUAAUCUCUUAGGAUUCUCUAGACAUUUCCAUUCUCGCACGAACCCUAUAGAAAACCUUAUCCACUUCAGUGUUCGACAGAAGAGUUGAUUCAGACCCAGAAGAGGUUCAUUGAGAAGAUUUCCAAUUCGGAAAUAAAUGAAAUAGGACGAGACUAUUGAAAUCACCAAGUGCCUAUACCUUUUAGGGACAUCGGUGAGCGAUUCACCUGAACUUUCGAGAUUUCCAGUCAUCCAUCAUGAAGCGAUGACACUCAGAGUCAGGAUCAGAAGUAAAGCGGAGUAGAGAUUCAAUAUGUCUACACGAGAAGAGAACCCUAGGUAUCUAUCCGAAGAAAACCAACGUUGGUCCCAGUCUAGGAUGAGACGUAGACAGAGGGAGCCAGUACAUGGAACCCGAGAAGUGUCUUUUCCUCGUUAUUGUCAUGCUAAAACACCCAUAAAAUAUUACAAUUUAGUGAGUUAUUGAUUACACUACUCACACUAUGUGUUAGAUAAAUCGCCUUUUCUCGUCGUAAGUAAUACGAUUAGAUCGGAUCCCAAAACCUUGAUUUAGAGUGUUUAGCCAUAAGUCUUCAUGAGCCUUUCUUUCCACAGUCUUCGUUCCGAACUCCCCUCAAAUCUUUCCAAGCCGGAGAGUGAAUCUCUCCAGUAUAAAGAUAACUUAGUAGGAACGACUCCCAUCUUAUGACUUUUCGAUACUCUUACUCCUACCUUGAAUACCCAGACUACAUCAUAGGGAUGUAGGUCGACACUCUAUUAACCAAUAUCCGCGGUGUAGGAAAAAUUUAUGCCUAUUAUAGUAAGGAUAGAUACGUCUAGAGUUAAACAUCGUCUCUCAUCGGCUUGUGUUCCUUUCCGUGUAGGAAAACCAUGCCUCCGCAGAAACGUAACCAAUCCGCUGGCAAGAAACCGACUCUCCUAUUCGAUGUAGCUACGUUCCAAGCUGCAGUCUCGGCAGGCGGNNNNNNNNNNNNNNNNNCCGUAGUAGCUGUCAUGGCUCAUCUGAAUGCUAACAACGCCAAUGUUAGCAAGAGCCCUAUCGGGAUUCCCGAUCCUAGCAAUGGACGGCAGCAACCAACUUUUGUGUGCCCAGCCACCCAAGAACCUCAACCAAAUCCACUAAAGAGAAAGUUCAAGAACGAGGAGGGAAGUACCUCGGCUCAAGGACCUUUCGAAGGGUAACGAGCUGAGACAGUCAAUACCCCUGCCAACCCUUCCAUCCCGACACCUAGAAGACCAUACCUAGGAAACCUUCCCCACUACAGCAAGUGUAGCUACCAUCAUCAUGAUAUAUGUCGAGAAUUCUUUUGCACUAGGUGCAACAAGAAGGGGAAUACCGCUCGUACCUGCAGAACCCCGGUUGAGUUCAUCACAUCAACCACUAAUGUGGCGACCAGUCCAAUAGGCCAUCUAUGUGGUGAUAUUGGACACUUCAAGAAGGACUGCCCAACUAAAGGAAACGACAAAGGCGCAGGAGGAGUCUAACUCUAAAUACCUAGGGAGAGUCAUCAAGGAGGCCGGUAGAACUUUUUGGUACGUCUCUUAAUCCUAGAUAACUAACCGAAAACAUUAAAAGGCUAAUUCUAAAUGUAAUUACUUCCCCGUUAAGGCGAAAGUCACAGCACUAUUGUAAAAUUCAAAAUUUCAUCAGGUAAAGCUAUAAUGGCUCCCUAUAUACAUUAAAGCCAUGUAUAAUUAAGAUGGAUAGACCUAGAGUGAGUGAUGCUGCCUCAUUUCUUGUUCCUCGUUUGGUUGUGGAUAUAGGGCACAGUCGCUCAGUCAACAGUCCUUCCUACCUUAAUUAGACAUGACUAGUAUAUGCUUGGCGAUUAUAGAAACGCCUCGUGAGAAUCCAUACAUGAAAAGCACAUUAUUCCGAAACCUCAGGACCCUUUAUAGUUCCGCGUCGACUCUAUCGGUCCAAAUAUCCGCGACAGUGAUACACGGGACGAAACCUGAGACGCCAAGAACUUGUGUGCCCAUUUAGCACAUGGCCCUAUCGACCCUCACUCUAUAUCAUGUCGAUGUAUGCCAUCUUCGAUGCCUCUACUAAUCAUGGUUUGACUUAGUGCAACCUCGUGUAAAAUCCUAGUGCCGUGUAAAAAGAACUUUCACCGUAGCCAUUUCGGCAGAUAAAGGUUCUUCCAAACCUAAUAAUAAAACCUAAUGCGAUCCUUUAGUCGUCUCACUUACCUAAAACUUUACGAAAUACCACGGAGUAGGGUAUCGCGUGCUGUUAACCAACCCUUUCUUAGAUAGAUAGAACCGGAAGCGAAAGACACCACAGGUAUUUCAGAAGACGGUAACCACCUGAAUCUUACUCCGUAGAUCUCCCAAAAAGACCCUUAACACCUCACAAUCAGGUUCGUGAACCAAGAGGAAAGAACUCAUGGGGUUAAUGUACUACUACUGAGUAUAUGCAUUAGAGUGGUAUACAAUUCAGAUCAAUAAGAUUUAAGAUGUGUGCUUCCUCCCUACUCCCCAUUCCUCGUUGGGUUGUGGGUUCUGGGGUGGAGCCGCACAAUUGAAUAUCCUGUGGACCUUAAUUAUAUACGGCUUGCUUACACCAAGUAUUAGUGGUUAAGCCAAGUAUGAGCUCUACCACGAACCUCAUAGUAAAACCCUUCAUCCUAUCCCAUUGAAUCAGAACUAGAGUCAAGAGAACCACUGCGGGUUGAGCUACUAAAAUGACCACAAAUCCUAAAUUUGUUGUCAUCCCAAUUAAGCCAACAUAGUAGCUAACACCCUCAGUUGGUAAAGAAAUAUGAGUCGUAAGAGUCAAGGAAAUUGACUACGACCAUCCAUUCACGCUUAAUCCCACGAAUUAAGCAUCUCAACGGAUAUCCCGGAAACCUGGAAGUUGCGAUAAGUUAAACUCUGAGAAGAGUGGAUGAAGAUAUUAGAAGUUCCGAGUAACGGAACCCUAUACUUCUAGACUUAACCUAAAUCAAGAAAACUCAGAACCACCGGAAGAGUAGUUGCAGAAGACGCUCGCACUACUCAGGCACUUCGACCACCCUGUUACUGACGAGUAGUGCCUAGGACACUCUGCCUCCUCACGUGGAAGAAGUCACCGUCACCCUGUAGACAAUAGACUGCAUUCUCCGAAGUGAAUACUAGAAUGCCAAGAACCACAGGAUAACCUCCGCAGCAAAGAAUACUUGAAUAAAGUACGAAAGUAGGUUGCGUUAAGCCUUAUAACCCAGCUCCCGAAGAGAUUAUAGACCUGACACCAGUCUAGGUGUUAGUCGAUGGGUUAUAUAAUAGUGUCACGUGCUUUCUGCAACUGAAAUAAACUGACACCUUAGAGAAUAGGCAUGUCUUAGAGAUUCAUUGGACUACUAGGUGUACCAAGAAUACUAUCUCACGCAGAGAUAGUAGAACCACCACCCGAGAAAGUCCAACACUUCAGAAAAUCUCUAAGAAUUGAGUUAGCCCUGAGCAGAGCUUGCUAUUAAUGAAACAGAAAAGCAAGUAAGAGCAUGAUUCUUCCCCGUUUGGAAUCAUAUUGUGAAAGCGUCAACUAGACGAUGAUGAAAAGUUUAAAAACUUUCUAAACAAUCGUCUGGUAAAACCCUAUCUCACCGACUACGAGAAUUAGAAACAUCUCAAGAACCAGAAGUGCAGGUUCAUUUUGCACUAAGUUGACACUUGCAUCAAAUAGAUACCCGUAGACAUCCAAUUUAUCCGAUAAUCCAGAAAACCUCUGAAAGCCAAUCAGCAGGAAACACAAAUCCAAGGAUGACUCAAACCUUCUAAGAACUAACCCGAAGAACUACACCUCAGUAAGAGAGAACUUUUAGAACUUCAUAAUUGCGAUCACGCCAGUGAUGAUCUCACCAUAAAAGUACAUUAUGUUCUAAGUACUGAAAAGCUCUAUCUUCCCAAGAGUGUAGGACCAUCCUAGAUUCUUUAUAAGAAUGGGUCCAACCCUUGUCAGACCACGACUACUUUUAGAAGUCCAUAAGUUUCACCCCAAAUCGAUCAACGUCCUAGACUUGAAAGAGUGCUUGCCCGACGUAACUAUCUAAAUCCCACUAGUCUUGGUAGAAAUCAUUGGGAACCCUAACUUCGUAGCCGACCCUGUAGGAAUCGCUAACCGAACGAAAUGAAAUCUGCAUCCCGUUAAGUGAAGGUUUGCUGGAACGCCAAGCAAAGGCCGAAGUUCACUUGGGAGCGCGAGGACCAACCGGAUAGGAAGUACCAUCAUCUCUCUACCCGAUUGUUCAUGCCACUUCCUUGCCAAAACCCUAAAUUCGGGACGAAAUUCCCUCUAACGGGGGGAUGAUGUGACAACCUGAAAUUUAUCCCGUCACAGUAAACCCUUUUCCUCUAAUAAAACUCGCUUUAUUAAAUUGUUCCGUUAACCUUUUUGGAUUAGGUUAAUUAAAUUGGGACUGUUUAUUAUGACUUCAUGAGUGUCCAAAUGAAUUAGAAACACGUGAAACACCCUCAAUAUCCCCUUGAAAAUUUUUAGUUACAGUCAAGUCAAAUUACGACCAUUUAAUCGGGUAUGACCAUAAGCCCCGUUUAACGUCAGUAUCGGGUAGGUUUCCACUGGGCCACAAACUCAAACCCCUAUAUAAGGGUGAGGAAACCUCAUUUACACCCUUUUUACUCUCUCUCUACUCUCUACAAGUUGCUUUCGAUCCAAAAACGCCCAUUUCGAGCACCAUAAUCGUAAGUAAUCUGUCCUACCUUGUUGUUUAACUUAAUAUACCUGAAAAUUCUUUUUUAAAUCACCCAAAACCCUAAUAACCAUGUGUUUAAGGCCCAGGAACACUCUUGGACCGCAAACACUCCUAAAUGGGGUUUUGAAGCCCCAAAACCCUUCCAAACCACUUAUGGAGCUUACUUAUGACUUAGGGGCUUACAUGAAAGUACUUAGAACACCAAAAUCUUAACAUAUGAGGAGUGAACAUGAGUUUACAGCCCAAGAACACUCUUGGUAUGUAAACCCCUCUUCUUGGGCCAUGAACACCAAUUAAGGUGUUAAAUUUGCCCUUAAACACCUCCUAAGGCUUGGGUAAAUGUCUAGAAUCAACCACCAUUGAAGUAGGGGCAUUAAACAUCAAGGAAACUAUGGACUUAGGAGUUUACGGCUAUAAACCCCCCAAGGAUUGGUCCAUGGGCCAUAAACUCCCUUAAGAAUGCCAAAUGUUGCCCUAACUUCCCCCUUUGGCUUGGAAAAAUGCAUAGAAACUUAUACUCUUUCAUUUAAUACCUUAAAUCAUGAGUUGAAGGACCAAGUGAGAGUUUACGGCCGUAAACUCUAUGUUUACAGCCGUGAACUCCCUUAAAUGGUUCAUUUGGAGCCUUAACCCCUUCCUAUGCCCUAGAUUGGAACCUAGCCUAAUUCUACAAGUGAUAUAAGACCUUUAAACAUCCAAUAACACACCACCCAUGAGUUUAUGGCCGUAAACUCAUGGGGAUAUGGUCUGAGGGCCGAAAUCUCCAUAAAGAGUUUACUCUUGAAGACUAAACCCGCUAACUAGGCCAUACACUCCCUUAUUGCAACCCAAUAGCCUCCUAGCACUUGACCAAAGUGUUUUCCGCACAUUAGGAUGCUUAUACUUGUUUAAUUAGUAUUAUAAUCUCUAAUUGUAUGUAAACAUAUGUCAUCAUAUGUUAAUAGGUCACUAAGUGUGUUCAAGUCUUUACUUGGCACUGCGCACCCAAAUGACAGCUCCGUCCAAUCCACCCGCAACAGGUGUAACAACCCGAAAUUCAUAUUCCGAAAUGUAACCCUUUU
rnacentral:lncRNA from 1 species